UACGUAGGUGGCAAGCGUUGUCCGGAUUUAUUGGGUUUAAAGGGUGCGUAGGCGGUCUUCUAAGUCAGUUGUGAAAUACUUCAGCUUAACUGGAGAGGUGCAAUUGAUACUGGAAGACUUGAGUACUGAUGAGGUAAGGCGGAAUGGACGGUGUAGCGGUGAAAUGCUUAGAUAUCGUCCAGAACACCGAUAGCGAAGGCAGCUUACUAAGGAGUAACUGACGCUGAGGCACGAAAGUGUGGGGAUCAAACAGG
rnacentral:rRNA from 1 species